rnacentral:rRNA from 1 species
CGCAUCUGUGCAUGCAGCAUAUCAAUAAGCGGAGGAAAAGAAACUAACAAGGAUUCCCUUAGUAACGGCGAGUGAAGCGGGAAGAGCUCAAAUUUGAAAUCUUCAAGGUUUUACCUUGACGAAUUGUAGUUUAAAGAAGUGUUUUCUGUUGAAGUUUUGGUAAAAGUUCUUUGGAAUAGGACAUCAUAGAGGGUGAGAAUCCCGUAUUUGACCAUUAUUUUCAGCUGUGUGAUACACUUUCAAAGAGUCGGAUUGUUUGGGAAUGCAGUCCAAAAUGGGUGGUAAAUUUCAUCUAAAGCUAAAUAUUGGCGAGAGACCGAUAGCGAACAAGUACCGUGAGGGAAAGAUGAAAAGAACUUUGAAAAGAGAGUUAAACAGUACGUGAAAUUGUCAAAAGGGAAGCGUUUGACACCAGUGUUGUUUUCUCGAAAAUCAAUUAAAAAGAGUUUGAUUUUGUUGUGUAUUGACCUUAACAGCUUGCAUUUCAAUUUUCUUGCUUUUUUUAAUGCACUUUUCGUUUAACAAGUCAACAUCAGUUUCUUUUGUUGUAAAAAGGUCAUUGGAAGGUGGCUUUCUUUUCGGAGAAAGUGUUUAUAGCCUUUGACUCCUGCAAUCGGAGAGACUGAGGUCUGCAGCGUAGAUCCUUCGGGGUUAGAUACAUUUGUGCUAAGUUAUAGCUUUUUAUAGACAACUUGUUGACUAUGAUUAGUCUUGUAGCUUACUCGCUUAUGCUAUUUUACCUACGCUUAGGAUGUUGACGCGCGUGUGUGCGUG